AUCUGAUCCUAGGCAACGGGUAGUAGAACAGAGAAAGGUUUCUCGUGACAUGGCCACACCCCGAAUGAUACCUAAACAAUCA
rnacentral:sRNA from 1 species